rnacentral:rRNA from 1 species
GACGAACGCUGGCGGCGCGCUUAACACAUGCAAGUCGAACGGAAAGGCCUGCUUUCCCUUGUGGAUUGCGGGUACUCGAGUGGCGAACGGGUGAGUAACACGUGAGUGAUCUGCCCCCAACUUGGGUAUAAGCCUGGGAAACUGGGUCUAAUUCCCGAUAGGACUGCAGGGUGGUGCCUGUGGUGGAAAACGAUUUUCUAGUGGUUGGGGAUGAGCUCGCGGCCUAUCAGCUUGUUGGUGGGGUAAUGGCCUACCAAGGCGGCGACGGGUAGCCGGCCUGAGAGGGUGGACGGCCACAGUGAGACUGGGACACGGCCCAGACUCCUACGGGAGGCAGGAGUGGGGAAUAUAGCACAAUGGGCGGAAGCCUGAUGCAGCGACGCCGCGUGGGGGAUGACGGCAUUCGGGUUGUAAACUCCUUUCGACCGCGAGGAAGCCACCUGGUUGGAAGGGUGGUGACGGUAGUGGUAGAAGAAGCACCGGCUAACUACGUG